UGGAUCAACGACGAUAGCUGCGGGCAUAUGAGUCAUGGAUGAUGAGUGAUGCGUGUCUGGAACCAUGAGGUCCAA
ensembl:snoRNA small nucleolar RNA, C/D box 114-14